UACGUAGGGGGCUAGCGUUGUCCGGAUUUAUUGGGCGUAAAGAGCGUGUAGGCGGCCAGGUAGGUCUGCUGUGAAAACUCGGGGCUCAACCUCGAGACGUCGGCGGAAACCAUCUGGCUAGAGUCCGGAAGAGGAGAGUGGAAUUCCUGGUGUAGCGGUGAAGUGCGCAGAUAUCAGGAAGAACACCCGUGGCGAAGGCGGGUCUCUGGGCCGAUACUGACGCUGAGGAGCGAAAGCGUGGGGAGCGAACAGG
rnacentral:rRNA from 1 species